GUCUAUGGCCAUACCACCCUGAAUGCACCCGAUCUCGUCUGAUCUCGGAAGCUAAGCAGGGUCGGACCUGGUUAGUACUUGGAUGGGAGAAAGGAAUGAUUAAACAGAGAGGGAAAAGGUUAAAGUUUUAGCUA
ensembl:rRNA 5S_rRNA 5S ribosomal RNA